AGCGUGAGAAUCUUGCACACAAUCGAAGCAGAACCCUGAUGCAGCAACGCCGCGUGAGUGAUGAAGGUUUUCGGAUUGUAAAGCUCUGUCUUUGGGGAAGAUAAUGACGGUACCUAAGGAGGAAGCCACUGCUAACUACGUGCCAGCAGCCGCGGUAAAUCUAA
rnacentral:rRNA from 1 species